rnacentral:rRNA from 1 species
GAUGAACGCUGGCGGCGUGCCUAAUACAUGCAAGUCGAGCGAACGGACGAGAAGCUUGCUUUUCUGAUGUUAGCGGCGGACGGGUGAGUAACACGUGGAUAACCUACCUAUAAGACUGGGAUAACUUCGGGAAACAGGAGCUAAUACCGGAUAAUAUUUUGAACCGCAUGGUUCAAAAGUGAAAGACGGUCUUGCUGUCACUUAUAGAUGGACCCGCGCUGCAUUAGCUAGUUGGUAAGGUAACGGCUUACCAAGGCAACGAUGCAUAGCCGCCCUGAGAGGGGGAUCGGCCACACUGGAGCUGAGACACGGUCCAGACUCCUACGGGAGGCAGCAGUAGGGAAUAUUCCGCAAUGGGCGGAGGCCUGACGGAGCAGCGCCGCGGGGGGGAUGAAGGUCUUCGGAUCGUAGAACUCUGUUAUUAGGGAAGAACAAGUGUGGAAGUAAUUGUGCACAGCUUGACGGUACCUAGUCAGAAAGCCACGGCUAACUACGUG